GUUCAUGUGUGUGUGUCUGUGAGUCUGUGUGUGUCUCUGUGUGUGUGUGUAUAUGUGACUGUGUGUGUGUCUGAGUGUGUGUGUCUGUGCCUGUGAGUGUAUCUGUGUGUGUGUGUCUGUGUGUGUCUAUGUGACUGUGUGUCUGUGUGCGUGUCCGUGUGUGUCUGUGUGUGUCAUGUAUCUGUGUCUGUGUGUUGUGUGUCCGUGUGUCUAUGUGUGUGUGUGUGGUAUGUCUGUGUGAGCGUGUCUGUGUGUGUGUGUCUGUGUGUGUGUGUCUCUGUGUGUGUCUGAGUGUGACUGUGUGUGUUUGUGUGAGUGUGUAUGUGUCUGUGUGAGUGUGUAUUUGUGUUUUGCUCCCAGGAAAUGGGAGGUGAAGACCUCACUAAAGUAGGAAGGGCGUGUGGGCCGGGCUUUGGCCCUUUGUGCUGAUAGUGGUGGAGAGGGAUGGCCUGGCUUGGCACAGUUCCGCCUUGCCUGUGCUGCCAGCCUCUUGUGAGAGAUGCCAUGGGGAAAGGAUUUGGGAAAAUGCACAGUGCACUCUUCUGAGUGCUUUGUCUGGGCUAAAACUCUACAGGGUGUAGCUGUGGCUCUGAAACAAAUAGAGGCUGGCCCUGUCAAUUGUUUUGGGGCAAAGUUAAUCCGGGGUAAGAGUCAGAGGCAGCCUAGAAGGCAGGGUGAAAACUAGCCAGAUGAAGGCCUUGCCUGGGAGUUGAGUUUAUACCUCUGGGCUGAAGGAGUAGCCACUGCUAACAACAGUUGUACUUUUUCCUCUGAGUUGCAAUUCCCUUCUCAUGCCUCCAAGCCUCUACUCAGGUAACCUGGCGGUGGGGAAAUUGAGAGGCACAGUGUCCACGCACUAAUGCUGAAGAUGAGAUGUGGAUGCAUGGAGCACAUUUUGAAAAGCCCUGGCCUUUUAUAAGGAUCUGGGCCUUCUAGUAUUUUCCUUGCCACCUCUCCACCUGCUAACACAUGCUGUGCACAUAGUAGGCGCCCAGAAAAUGUGUGUUACUUGAAUGGAACUGAGAAACCAUUCUAGCCCAAACCAUGAGGCCCCCUGGCUCGCCCCCUCCUGCCAUGCCCAUCUAGUUUUCAAUGCCAAGCUCUUAUGUCAGGGUUUUUCAUCUCCAUCUUCCUCUGCAUUCCUGUUGUUCACUUUAGGGGAAGGGUCCUGCUUGGACUAUUGCAGUAGCCUCCAAGUAGCCUGAACUCUGCUCAGACUCUCCCAUCCCCCAUCUGCUCAGCAGACUGUUGAUUCUCUGCAGUUUGCUGCUUUGACGAUGUCCCUCUCCAGCUCCAAAUCGUUACUGGCUCUCCAUUGACUACAGGUAAAAUGCAGACUUCUCAGCCUGAUCUUCCACAAUCUGACGUCAGCCUACCUCCUCAUCCUGCCUGGGCCUGGCGGCACGCCAGCCAAUUCAGACCACUUGCCAUUUUUCUUUUUCUCCCCUGAAUCUGGAAUUGCUGUCAGUGAAACCUUCUCUUUCCUUCAAGGAGCACCUUGAAUGCUGGCUCCUCCACAUCACCUUCCUGACCCUCUCAGCUCAGAGAGGUUUCUCUGCAUCUGAACUCCAUGUGUUCCAGUCUCUGGGUCCUUGCCAUGCACUGCUGAGGCAUGCUGUGUGCCCGCUGCCGUCCCUCCUCAGGCUCAGAAGCAGAGCCUAUGACUUAGUCACUUUGGUUUCCCCAGCGCCCAGAGCAGAUAUUUGCACAGAAGAGGAGCUCAAUAAAUGUUUGUUUAAUGAACAAAUAUAUAAUUAUGACCAAAUGCCCUGCUUUCUUACAGUGAUAUUCAAGUCAUCCUAGGCAAAAAAAAAAAAACAAAAAA
rnacentral:lncRNA from 1 species